AUGGACGCUGGCGGCGUGCCUCAUACAUGCAAGUCGCGCGCACAGACGAGGAGCUUGCUCCUCUGACGUUAGCGGCGGACGGGUGAGUAACACGUGGAUAACCUACCUAUAAGACUGGGAUAACUUCGGGAAACCGGAGCUAAUACCGGAUAAUAUAUUGAACCGCAUGGUUCAAUAGUGAAAGACGGUUUUGCUGUCACUUAUAGAUGGAUCCGCGCCGCAUUAGCUAGUUGGUAAGGUAACGGCUUACCAAGGCAACGAUGCGUAGCCGACCUGAGAGGGUGAUCGGCCACACUGGAACUGAGACACGGUCCAGACUCCUACGGGAGGCAGCAGUAGGGAAUCUUCCGCAAUGGGCGAAAGCUUGACGGAGCAACGCCGCGUGAGUGAUGAAGGUCUUCGGAUCGUAAAACUCUGUUAUUAGGGAAGAACAAAUGUGUAAGUAACUAUGCACGUCUUGACGGUACCUAAUCAGAAAGCCACGGCUAACUACGUG
rnacentral:rRNA from 1 species